rnacentral:rRNA from 1 species
CCCCUUAAACACAAAUAAUUAUAAGAAACAAAAUUAUUCGCCAGAGUACUACCGGCAACAGCCCGAAACUCAAAGGACUUGGCGGUGCUUUAUACCCUUCUAGAGGAGCCUGUUCUAUAAUCGAUAAACCCCGAUAAACCUCACCAAUCCUUGCUAAUACAGUCUAUAUACCGCCAUCUUCAGCAAACCCUAAAAGAAGGAACAAAAGUAAGCUCAAUAAUAGCACAUAAAGACGUUAGGUCAAGGUGUAACCUAUGGAGUGGGAAGAAAUGGGCUACAUUUUCUACCCAAGAAAAUUCAAUACGAAAGCCAUUAUGAAAUUAAUAGCCAAAGGAGGAUUUAGCAGUAAACUAAGAAUAGAGUGCUUAGUUGAAUCAGGGCGGGAAGCACGCAC